rnacentral:lncRNA from 1 species
UAGCUCAUCAGUUAUUGGUAGUGUUGGUAUAUUUUAUGUGUGGCCCAAGACAAUUCUUCCAAUGUGGCCCAGGGAAGCCAAAAGAUUGGACACGCCUGUCCUAGAUGGAGAGGAAGGAGGCAGUGCUGAGCACAUCUGGCCAUUCAUCCAUCUGGAGAGAGAAGGCUAUGGGCAAACUGCUUCCUCUCCCCUGUAGACACCCAGCUGGGAAGGUCUGGCCUUUGGCUAAGUCCUGGCUUGGGGUCCUUCCUCAUUUCACAGAACCUAACUCUAUGUUAGUGCUUUGUGAGUAUAUGUUGAUCAUAAUAAAGUUGACGGGAUUUUUUCACAUGAUAAUAAUAGUUGUCAUCUGGCCGGGCAUGGUGGCUUAUGCCUAUAAUUUCA